rnacentral:rRNA from 1 species
UACAGAGGUCUCAAGCGUUGUUCGGAUUCAUUGGGCGUAAAGCGCACGUAGGCGGAUUGCUAAGUCAGGGGUGAAAUCCUGGAGCUCAACUCCAGAACUGCCUUUGAUACUGGCGGUCUCGAGUCCGGGAGAGGUGAGUGGAACUGCGAGUGUAGAGGUGAAAUUCGUAGAUAUUCGCAAGAACACCAGUGGCGAAGGCGGCUCACUGGCCCGGUACUGACGCUGAGGUGCGAAAGCGUGGGGAGCAAACAGG